AUUGGACGCUGGCGGCGUGCUUAACACAUGCAAGUCGAACGAUGAAGCCGGAGCUUGCUCUGGUGAAUUAGUGGCGAACGGGUGAGUAACACGUGAGUAACCUGCCCUUGACUCUGGGAUAACUGCUAGAAAUGGUAGCUAAUACCGGAUACGACCCUCGGAGGCAUCUCCAGGGGGUGGAAAGAAUUUCGGUCAAGGAUGGACUCGCGGCCUAUCAGCUAGUUGGUGAGGUAAAGGCUCACCAAGGCGACGACGGGUAGCCGGCCUGAGAGGGUACACGGCCAAACUGGGACUGAGACACGGCCCAGACUCCUACGGGAGGCAGCAGUGGGGAAUAUUGCACAAUGGGCGCAAGCCUGAUGCAGCAACGCCGCGUGAGGGAUGACGGCCUUCGGGUUGUAAACCUCUUUUAGCAGGGAAGAAGCGAAAGUGACGGUACCUGCAGAAAAAGCACCGGCUAACUACGUGCCAGCAGCCGCGGUAA
rnacentral:rRNA from 1 species